rnacentral:sRNA from 1 species
UAGCCUCUUGGUUUGUGAUGCGGUCUUCAAUAGUGAUGCCUAGGAUCCUUCUGUAGCAUCUCAAUUCCAUUGCUAGGAUCCUCCUCUCAAGCUCUGCAGUCAGCGUCCGAGACUUGCAAGCAUAUAACAAUGUGGCCAUGACCAGGGAGUGCAUCAGUGUGAUUUUCGAACACUAGCAAAUAAGAAGAGUCAAACAUCGUGAAAGCUACUAAUCAAGUUUAGAAGAAAUACAUGUACACUCUAUGCAAAGUCCACAAAGCCAUCAAUUGUGUUUUGAAAUAAAAAGCUAACCAAAUCUAA